UACGGAGGAUGCGAGCGUUAUCCGGAAUCAUUGGGUUUAAAGGGUGCGUAGGCUGGUAUUUAAGUCAGUGGUGAAAUUUUCGUGCUUAACAUGAGAGCUGCCAUUGAUACUUGGGUACCUAGAGUGUAUUUGAUGUGGGCGGAAUGUGUUGUGUAGCGGUGAAAUGCUUAGAUAUACACAGAACACCGAUAGCGAAGGCAGCUCACAAAGUUACAACUGACGCUGAUGCACGAAGCGUGGGGAUCAAACAGG
rnacentral:rRNA from 1 species